GACGAACGCUGGCGGCGUGCUUAACACAUGCAAGUCGAACGGUGACCCAGGGCUUGCCCUGGUGAUCAGUGGCGAACGGGUGAGUAACACGUGGGCAACCUGCCCCUGACUUCGGGAUAACUCCUCGAAAGAGGAGCUAAUACCGGAUACGACCACUUCGGACAUCCGAUGGUGGUGGAAAGUUUUUCGGUCAGGGAUGGGCCCGCGGCCUAUCAGCUAGUUGGUGGGGUAAUGGCCUACCAAGGCGACGACGGGUAGCCGGCCUGAGAGGGCGACCGGCCACACUGGGACUGAGACACGGCCCAGACUCCUACGGGAGGCAGCAGUGGGGAAUAUUGCGCAAUGGGCGAAAGCCUGACGCAGCGACGCCGCGUGAGGGAUGAAGGACC
rnacentral:rRNA from 1 species